ACACAGUGCAUAAUAUAGUGUGCUGUACAAACUGAUGUAUCUCAACCAACCAUAAGAUAGUCCAUUAUAAAACUGAAAUUUUAGAAGAAAAAAAAUAAAAAAUUGAACUCUGGUUUAGUCAGUUGUCAUAUAGGGAAAUAUGCAAGUGACAAACUGUCAUACAUCAGGAAAAUGAACAAAAAUACCUCUAAGAAAUGUGGUUUUGGGAGAUUAGCCUACUUUAGAAUGUAAAAAUGUCACUUGACAAAUAGGUCAGUUUGUAAAAUUAAACCAGGCACUAUAUUAUACACAAACCAGGACCGACUACUUGCUCAUUAACACAAUAUGGCCUGCUAGGCACCUACCCAUUAAUAGGAAUUUAAGUUCCCACAGGGAGUUAUGGACUGCAAGCUGUGAAGUUCAUACUAUUGUGUUCCUAUAUGGAAAAGAUUUAAAAUAAAACAAAAAAAAACAUAUCUGUAAUGUUAUGCACGCUGUUAUACUUCAUUUAAAUGCCUCAUAUGGCAUAGGAACAAAAUACCAGGUCCUAUGAGAAAUAUAGUUAGCGGUUAGAUUAAACCCUACCUAUAAAAGGUCUAAAAAAUAAAAUAAAAAUCUGAACGCCCAAUUCUCAUUAACUGUACAUAUUGUUCCCUCAUAUCCAUAUAUGUAAGUCUGCUUUGCCAUCUGAUUAUUUUGGCCUGAAAGUUUACGGUUAUUCAUUUAAAUAAGAAUUGCCUGAUAUAAUAAGUAAACUAAUAGCUCACAUAUUGAACUUUGAUUCCACUUUAACUAUGCAUAUAUAGGGCUGCCUGUAUCCACCUGUGGAGAACUUAAUCCUUAUAGGCUGCAUAUAUGACCAGGUUGCAUACACAUUAGCUGGCAUUUAACAAUUUUGUUAAUCUGACCACACUUAUUGCUUUUUUGCAUAGUGUUGUGUCCAGGCCAGCUGACGCUCCCUUGGGAGACCAAAUGAAAGUUACGCAACAAAAAGAAUGUUCUGUAUCAGAGGAUGGCUGGUGAGGGAAGCAAGACAAUGGACUUCUAAUUACAAGUACACAGGAGAUUUGAUUGGCAGCCUCAGCACCAUUCCUGCAUGGAUUGAAUACAAAAAACGGAAGGUGUGCUGGGUGGUCAAUUGACAGUACUGUGCAGCAAAGUAGUUGGGACCAGGAUUGCAUGGAUUAAACUGCAUCCAUUUUACAUGAGUUGUGGGCACAGCAGGGAGUUAUUUUGGUGGUAAGUUUUCUUGUCCCCAAGGCCAGAAGUUGCAAGCACCCCCAACCUUGUACUGCCUUUCUCAUCCCAGUUUGUUGGGAAGACUGCACAGGGUAACAAACACCCACUAGGAAACAACACCACCCUUUCAUGAAAUAUAUGGUUUAAAAUUAAAUGUAAUUAACAGAUUUAUCCAGUGUGAGAAAACCCAAACAUGCAGUAGAACAUCAAAGUAAUGAUUUUUCCCCAAUUCUGCCAUUUCAUCUAAAACGUCAACAUGAU